CCUACGGGUGGCAGCAGUGAGGAAUAUUGGUCAAUGGACGAGAGUCUGAACCAGCCAAGUAGCGUGAAGGAUGACUGCCCUAUGGGUUGUAAACUUCUUUUAUAUGGGAAUAAAACGUUCCACGUGUGGGAUUUUGUAUGUACCAUAUGAAUAAGGAUCGGCUAACUCCGUGCCAGCAGCCGCGGUAAUACGGAGGAUCCGAGCGUUAUCCGUAUUUAUUGGGUUUAAAGGGGGCGUAGGUGGUUUUUUAAGUCAGUUGUGAAAGUUUGCGGCUCAACCGUAAAAUUGCAGUUGAAACUGGCAGUCUUGAGUACAGGAGAGGUGGGCGGAAUUCGUGGUGUAGCGGUGAAAUGCUUAGAUAUCACGAAGAACUCCGAUUGCGAAGGCAGUUCACUGGACUGCAACUGACACUGAGGCUCGAAAGUGUGGGUAUCAAACAGGAUUAGAUACCCUAGUAGUC
rnacentral:rRNA from 1 species